GGUAUCCUCUUUGUUUCUUUGAAGAAAAUCAUUUUUUUCAUAGAAAAAUUUAAACCAUUAUAUACAUUUCUUUCAACUUCUAGAGAUAUUUGAGAUUACAAGUAAAUAAGUUUUCUUCUAAUUCUUGAUUCAUCUAUGAGUGUGUUACUCAUAGCAUGCUCUAUUUUAUUAGAGAAAAAAGACCAAAAGCUUGCAGUCUCAAUCUCAAUUUCCUUUUUAGCUCUUCAACAAGGUUGUAACCUUCUCAAUCUCCACAAAGAAUCUGGUCUCAAGUUUGUUAAUGAACAUCAUUUUGGAAAAUAUAUAAAUUUUUGGGAGAUCAACUUUGCUAAGGAUUAUAUUAAGAUUUAUGGGGCAAUUUUGAAGUAACCUAGUUUAGAUCUUUACCACGAUGCUAACAAAUGGUACAAUAUUAUAUGGUAGAAUGACUUGGGAGAUCCUUAUACUUGACUUUGUUUGUAAGUUAGACCCUUAUACUUACUUCUUUGCCAACUGAACCCUUAAACCCACUCAAACACAAUAUUUUAAACCCCUUUCUCAUCCGAUGUGUGUAAGUGUAUUUCUAAAUUUCUGAAAUGUAGAACAUUAUGUUCAUAAUAUUUUCUCCCAAAUUGAGAGGCAAAUUCAUGCUAAAUAGAUCAAAUUCUUAUGUAUUUGACUUGAAUUUUACAUUACAAGUUCACAAAUACAAACCCAACAAAUUCUCAUCACAAUUUUGAAUUAAUUUCAUAAAUUAACAAAAACCAUUUAUUGUUCUUCAAGCUUCCUCAAGCAUAAUAAUGGAGAGUUUUAAUUUUUCAAUACCCAAUAUCACCCUUCACAUAAUACAAACAAUAUUCAAAAUAUACUCACAAAAUUUAAACAUUUGAGGAUGAAAAUGUGGUGGAACAAAAAAUGGCCAAGGAAGGUAUUGAUUUGUAGAAAAAUAAAAUAAAAUUUGACAGAGCAUUGAGAUAUAGGGAUAAAAAGUUUAGUAGGGGGAGGAGGGGUGAUGUUAAGAAAAAGAAGAAUAAGAAUGGGGUGGGUAUGAUGGGAAGAAAAAGUGGGUUGGGAAGAAGAAAGUAGGGUGAGUGUAGGUGUGUGUAUGGGGGGUGGCCGGGGGACGAGGGGCUGGGAAAAGGAGGUUCUUCCUUCUUUUAAUUUUUUUUAAUUACAGAUUUUUUUUAAUUCUUAAUAAUUCUUUAAUGUAAAAUAUUUAACCUCACUCGCUUUAAAACGCAUGUAAUGACCCAUCUUUCCAACUCAGCAACAUCAAUGCCACGUAAGUUUGGUAAAUGGCCAGAGGAGUUUAAAAUAUUGUGUUUUGGUGAGUUGAGGGGUUCAGUUGGUAAACUCGUAAGUAUAAGGGUCCAACUUACAAAUGGAGCCAAGUAUAAGGGUCUCCCAGGUCAUUCCGCCAAAUUAGUUUUUCAAUACUUUUUAAGGUGUAUUUUGUCUUUUUAUGCUGUUCAUGGACUAUUUUUUAUAAAAAAAAUUCUUUAGUCUAAUUUGUGAUUAAUAUUGAAUUUGGAGCUCAAUUAUUAUGUGAAAGUUGUGGGUGUGAGAGUUGUAGUUGAGUUUUCUUUAUAAUGCUAAUGGUUGAUUGUGGCGGAGCUAAAAUCUUCACUAAGAGCUUUAAAACACGAAGAAGUAAAGCCAUAGAGAAACCAAAAAAUGUUCAACACCUACCAUAUAUACAUAACUCUUUUUUAUUAUGUAUUAAGUAUACUUUUUUAUUGAAAGUGGUUUGGGUGAACACUUAGCUUAUCUGUCUAUGCCCAUGUUAUUUUAUUGUUCUUUUGAUUUUCAAUUUUUUUUCUUUGGAAGUUAGAAUCUUUAGUUGGAUAUUUAUUGUGUUUCUGAUUAAUGAUGAAUCUUGGAGUUUAUUUUUUCUGGGAAAGCUGUGGGGGUAUUAGAGUUGGUAUUAAAAACUUUUCUUUGAUUAAACUUUUUAGAGCUACUGUUUACUUUAUUCUUUGAGCUUUCCAAGUGUUUUUGCUUUGAAAGUUUGAAUUCUUACUGGAUUUUUUGUUGUGUUUGUGAUUGAUAAUGAAUCUUGGGGUUUAUUUUUCUUGGGAAAGUUGUGAGUGUUAGAGAUGGCAAUGACAACUUUUCUUAUUAUACUUUUUAGUGCUACUAUUUAUUUUAUUCUUUCAGGUUUUCAUGUGUUUCUACUUGGAAAGUUAGAAUCUUUAGUUCAUUUUUUGUCGUUUUGGUGAUUGAUGAUGAAUUUCAGAGCUUAGUUUAUCUGGAUGAGCCGUGGGUGUGAGAGUUGGAAGCCUCAACUUUUCUUAGAUUACUCUUUUUAAUGUUGCUAUUUAUACUGUUCUUUAAUUUUCAAUCUUUUUUGCUUUUAAAGUUAUAAUCUUCAGUGUUUUUGUUGUUUUUGUGAUAAAUAAUGAAAAUUGGUGUUUAGUUUUCCUGGUGAAGCUGUAGGUGUGAGAUUUUGAAGCCAAGAUGCUCCUGCUGAACCUGCACCAGCUAAGUUCAAUGCGUCUAUAAGAGAUAAUGUUCAAAUGGGUGAAUUUGUUGAUUUCCACAACCAACCCCGCAAGAAUGUUGGAUAGAAAUGAAAACCUUCUGAAAAGUGAAUUUGAAAUUAAAGAUUUGGGAGAAGCUAAGAAAAUCCUUGCCAUGGAGAUCAAAAAAGAUCGAGGAUCUAACAGGCUAUUCCUGACCCAUAAGAAGUACUUGGAGAAGGUCUUGGAGCGGUUUGGCAUGAAAGACACUAAACAACUAGUAAUACUCUUGCAGCUCAUUUUAAGUUAUCAGCUGCUGAAUCACCACAGACAGAGGAAGAAAAGAGGUAUAUGGCGCAUGUACCAUAAUCUAGUGUAGUUGGCAAUAUUAUGUAUGCAAUGGUGUGUAUACGUCUAGAUAUUUCACAAGCAGUAAGUAUGGUAAGCCAUAUAUGGCUUGCCCUGGUAAAGCACAUUUGCGGGCUGUGAAAUGGAUCCUCGGAUAAUUGCAAGGCACUUCGAACGCAUAUCUGGAGUUUGGGAGAAAUGCUAACACAUUGGUUGGUUUUGUAGACUCUUAUUAUGCAGGUGAUCUUGACAAAAGAAGAACACUAACAGGCUAUGUUUUUUGUAUUAAUGGUUGUGCUAUCAGCUGGAAAGCUACAUUACAACAUAUAGUAGCUUUAUCUACUAGCGAAGCAGAAUAUAUGGCAGUGAUCGAGGCUAUCAAAGAAGCCUUAUGGUUGAAGGGUCUAUUUGCUGAACUCAGCUUACACCAAGGUGAUAUUAUUAUUUUUUAUGAUAGUCAAAGUUCCAUUCACUUGACUAAGGAUCAAAUGUAUCAUGCAAAGACAAAGCAUAUUGAUAUCAAGUAUCACUUCAUCCGAAAAAUCAUUAAUGAAGGAAAGGUCUCUGUUCAAAAGAUUAACACUAGAGACAACCCUGCUGACAUGUUCACAGGGCCUCUUUCAGUCACCAAGUUCAAGAAGAGCUUGAACUUGAUUGGCAUUUAUCAAGGAUAAUUUAGCUCAUAUGGGCUUUUUCGAAGAGGAUGGAGCAAAUUUACUAUAUUCGCCAAACAGGCCAAGGUGGAGAUUUGUAAUGUGGCCUUUGUUUGUCAAAGAUUUGGAAAUCACAAAUAUUGAAAUUUGGCAACCAUAUUUGUCAAUGGUUUGGUAGCUAUAAUACUUGAUAAGGUUCAUAUUUGGAAAUCAUAAAUGUCAAAGAUUUGGUAGCCACAAUACUUGAUAUAUUCACAUUAAAAUGCUGAAUUUUUGUAUCUUCCAAUGAUAUCAUCCAUGACAUCAAGCAACCCAUUUUUAUCCUAUAAAUAGGGAAGUUGGCCAUUAGUUGAAACAUACCUUGAAGCAUAUGAAAACAUUUCAUUGCUUUCUUUCCAUUAGAGUAAUUUUGUAAGAGAGUUGGUAUUGGAAAACACUUGUGUGAACCCUUUCUUUGGAGUGAUCUUGUGAGGUUAUUCUCUUGGGGGUAUUUGGGAUUAAUUAGAAUAUUACUCUAAUUUUGUACUCUCUUUUGUACUCUUAUUGAUAUAGUAAAAUCCUCCUCUCCGCGUGUGGACUAGGUCAAAUCGACCGAACCGCGUUGAA